GUGGGGAAUAUUGGGCAAUGGGCGAAAGCCUGACCCAGCAACGCCGCGUGAGGGAAGAAGGCCUUCGGGUUGUAACCCUCUGUCCUUGGUGACGAAGAAAGUGACGACAGCCAAGGAGGAAGCCCCGGCUAACUACGUGCCAGCAGCCGCGGUAAUACGUAGGGGGCGAGCGUUGUCCGGAAUUACUGGGCGUAAAGGGUGCGUAGGUGGCCUUUUAAGUUGGAUGUGAAAUACCCGGGCUUAACUUGGGGGGUGCAUCUAAUACUGGGAGGCUAGAGUGCAGGAGAGGGAAGCUGAAUUCCUAGUGUAGCGGUGAAAUGCGUAGAUAUUAGGAGGAACACCAGUGGCGAAGGCGGCUUUCUGGACUGUAACUGACACUGAGGCACGAAAGCGUGGGGAGCAAACAGGAUUAGAAACCCCAGUAGUCC
rnacentral:rRNA from 1 species